rnacentral:lncRNA from 1 species
UUUUGACAAUAUUUGCCACUCUUCGGAUUUCAUGAUUUCCAAUUCGACAACCACAUCCUUCAUCUCGGGCCUCUUUCUAGGGUCUGUGUCCCAACAUCGUUGUAUUAAUCGAGCCAACGAUGUUCGACAAUUUACGGGAAAUGUAAAUUCGUGAGUACAAAUGUACAAGUAAUCAUACCUCAGGAGCCAUAUAACCUCGAGUCCCCAUCUCACCACUGGUGAAGAACAACUCUAAUGGCUCAAAAAUCGAUUCUCCAAAAUCAGCGAGUUUUAUCCUUUUUUGAUUGUCGAGAAGUAUGUUUUCUGGCUUCACAUCGCGGUGAAUUAUUUUCUUAGAAUGAAGAUUAAGAAUUAAGGUGAUGAUCACAUACCCUCUAGCAAUCUCAAGGGCAAAUUGAAAGACAAUUUUCAUGGGCAACUUCUUGUCACGGUUCUUCAACAGGUAAGAUCGUAGAGAUCCUCCUUUAACAUAUUCAGCGACGAUACAAAAGUUAUUCUGAGUUUUCGAUUUCUUGUUCUUUUUGCCCGCAUUUUUCUUCAUGGACAUGGUUGCUCCAAUCAUCUACAAUUUACACAAUGAUACAUGCAUGCUCGUGUGUUUGUGUAUAUAUAUAUAUGUAUGUAUCUUAUUAUAUGUUCUGGUAUACUCUAUGCAUUCUGUCAAUCUGAGGCGUUUCUGAAAAUUCACGUACUCUGUUCGAGCUCGAAAA